rnacentral:rRNA from 1 species
GACGAACGCUGGCGGCGUGCUUUACACAUGCAAGUCGAACGGAAAGGGCCUGCUUUUGUGGGACGCUCGAGUGGCGAGCGGGUGAGUAACCCGUGCGUGACCAGCCCUUGGCUUUGGGAUAACGACAGGAAACCGGGGAUAACACCGGAUCGGAGCACGUGAGGCAUGGUGGGGGUUGGAAAGUUUCGGCGGUUGGGGAUGGACGCGCGGCUUAUCAGCUUGUUGGUGGGGUAGUGGCUUACCAAGGGUUUGAAGGAUAGCCGGCCUGGGUGGGUGACCGGCGACAUGGCGACUGAGGUACGGCCCAGUCUGCUACGGGAGGCAGCAGUGGGAAAUAUUGCCCAGUGAGCGGGAGCCUGAUGCAGCGGCGCCGCGUUCGUAAUGACGUCCUUCAGGGUGUAAACCGCUUUCGCCUAUGACGAGGCGUUAGUGACGGUAAUGUGUGAAGAAGCACCGGCUAACUACGUG